UGAGAGUUUGAUCCUGGCUCAGGAUGAACGCUGGCGGUGUGCUUUAGGUAUGCAAGUCGAACGGUCCCGACGCAAGUCGGGGCAGUGGCGGACGGGUGAGUAAUACGCAAGAAUUUACCCUCGAGUGGAAAAUAACCCCGCGAAAGCGGGGCUAAUGUUCCAUGAGGUCCCGAUUUAAUCGGGAUCAAAGGGCUUAACGGCCCGCUUGGGGAGAAGCUUGCGUCCUAUCAGCUUGUUGGCGGGGUAAUGGCCCACCAAGGCUAUGACGGGUAGCUGGACUGAGAGGUCGGUCAGCCACAGGGGCACUGAGACACGGGCUCCACACCUACGGGUGGCAGCAACCAGGAAUAUUGGGCAAUGGGCGAAAGCCUGACCCAGCGACACCGCGUGGAGGAUGACGGCCUUAGGGUUGUAAACUCCUUUUGUCCCGCCUUUCACAGCGGGAAGAAUAAGCCUCUACUAACUACGUGCCAGAAGUCUCGGUAAUGCGUAGGAGGCGAGCGUUAUCCGGAUUUAUUGGGCGUAAAGGGUGCGUAGGCGGUUUUUCAAGUCCCGGUUUAAAGGUCAUGGCUUAACCAUGAAAACGGCCGGGAUACUAAUAAACUUUGAGGAUAGUUCGGGGUAUCGGAACAGUUGGUGUAGCGGUGAAAUGCGUUGAUAUCAACUGGAACACCGAAGGCGAAGGCAGAUACCUGGAAUUCUCCUGACGCUGAGGCACGAAAGCUAGGGUAGCGAAACAGAUUAGAGACCUGUGUAGUCCUAGCCGUAAACUAUCCCCGCUAGAUUCUGGUCGCAAGGCCGGAGUCGCAGUUAACACAUUAAGCGGGGCGCCUGGGGAGUACGGCCGCAAGGCUAAAACUCAAAGGAAUUGACGGGGACCCGCACAACCAGUGGAGCGUGUGGUUCAAUUUGAGACGAAGCAAAAAACCUCACCAGGGAUUGACAUGUAUUCGUUCACUCCGAUGGAAACAUUGGAGGAUCCCACCUUCAAGAGCAGAAAAAACAGAAUUUCAAAUGAAAUUGGGCAUUUGGAAUUUGAAAUUAGAAAUUUGAAAUUCAAAAACAUUUAUGUUUUUGAAGGUGGGAUGAUUACACAGGUGUUGCAUGGCUGUCGUCAGCUCGUGCCGUGAGGUGUUCCCUUAAGUGGGGAAACGAGUGCAACCCCUAUUCUAUGUUAAAUAUUCAUAGAAGACUGCCCCGUUUUUUACGGGGAGGAAGGAGGGGCGGACGUCAAGUCAGCAUGACCCUUAUACCCUGGGCUACACACACCCUACAAUGGCGAAAAACAAUGGGUUGCAAACCGGUAACGGCAAGCUAAUCCCUGAAAUUUCGCCUCAGUUCAGAUUGGGGUCUGAAACCCGACCCCAUGAAGUCGGAAUUGGUAGUAAUCGCGGAUCAGCAGGCCGCGGUGAAUACGUUCUCGGGUCUUGUACACACCGCCCGUCAAGGCAGCAAAGUCGGUAGCUAUCGAACCCCGCUUAGCGGGGGAGAUAGAGAUCGGUGAUGAAGCUUAAGUCGUAACAAGGUAUCCCUAGCCGAAGCUGGGGAUGGAUCACCUCCUU
rnacentral:rRNA from 1 species